GAACAACCAACUGACUAAAGCAAACUACUUUGUAUGCCAGCUGUGAACGUCCGCACGUGGCAUACUUAACGUGCUCAAUAUUGGCCUGAACCCCAGCGACGGAUCCAGUAAAACCGCGUACCUUGGCCUUCAAAGAAAGCUCUGUAAACGAUUUAGAGUGCUGGAUUACUGAGUUCCGAAGCCGCUGCAACUCUGACUUAAGGCUGAUGGACUUUGCGCGUGCACUAGGAGAUGUGACGACUGCUUCAGCGGCCACAGCACCCGACUCCUGUGCGAAAGGCGAUACACAUGCUGAUUCCUCGGCAUUCCCCGUUGUAGAGGGCUUGGCAACUUGCUGGCGUGGAGAGGUGGUGCCGUUUGGCGAUGUCGCCGCAUUGUGGCUUGGGCUUUUGCACCGAAGAGAGGCAGGUUGUACACAGGCGGAAGAUGCUUCUUGGCUGCUGGGUGUUGUUGGGCUUAUAGGCUUAGAGGAGGUGGGGGACGCCAACUUGGCUGGGAGUGCAGGCGUGUGGGUCGUCGACGUUGCGCGAGAGCUUGAUAACGACGAUCGCUUGCUCGAUUUUGAUGAGUUCUUGUCCUUCGACUUGCUGAACAACGACUUGAACCAGGUAGCUAGCUUGCCUGACUCUUUGCCCUCCUUGCCAUUCCCUUCGUCGGCCCCGUCGUUAUCAUUAACUUCCGGCUCAUCCUCAUCAUAUUCAUCAGCUUGGAAUUCAUCUACAAUUUGUAGCGCGGUAGUCGAGCUCUUGCCAGAGCGUUGCACCCCAGCGGAUGCUGUAACGUGAGCCGCCCCAGAUGCCGUCAUUAGCUUAAUUUUCGAUGUUAUGCCAAUAAAUUAAACGCCGCUUAAAUGAUAUGGCGUUGCAGUAUCGGUCGCUCUUCGACCAUCAGCCCACAGGGGCCAGAAGAGCUGGCACGCCGCUCUGAUACAAAAAUGCAACAACGAAUCCUUUUAACUAUGCAAAACCCUUAUGCUAGGCUUACAGGCUUGCGUCAACGCAAGCACAGAAAUGUGAUACACUGCCGUACGAUCGUACAGCCUAUGCGUAACUUUAACCUAUGUCUCCCGAGCUAUG
rnacentral:lncRNA from 1 species